rnacentral:rRNA from 1 species
GAUGAACGCUGGCGGCGUGCCUAAUACAUGCAAGUCGAGCGAAUGGAUUAAGAGCUUGCUCUUAUGAAGUUAGCGGCGGACGGGUGAGUAACACGUGGGUAACCUGCCCGUAAGACUGGGAUAACUCCGGGAAACCGGGGCUAAUACCGGAUAACAUUUUGAACCGCAUGGUUCGAAAUUGAAAGGCGGCUUCGGCUGUCACUUAUGGAUGGACCCGCGUCGCAUUAGCUAGUUGGUGAGGUAACGGCUCACCAAGGCAACGAUGCGUAGCCGACCUGGGAGGGUGAUCGGCCACACUGGGACUGAGACAGGGCCCAGACUCCUACGGGAGGCAGCAGUAGGGAAUCUUCCGCAAUGGACGAAAGUCUGACGGAGCAACGCCGCGUGAGUGAUGAAGGCUUUCGGGUCGUAAAACUCUGUUGUUAGGGAAGAACAAGUGCUAGUUGAAUAAGCUGGCACCUUGACGGUACCUAACCAGAAAGCCACGGCUAACUACGUGCCAGCCGCCGCAGUAA